rnacentral:rRNA from 1 species
AGUCAAUAGAUACCCAGGUAGUCCAUGCCGUAAACGAUGAUUGCUAGGUGUGGGGGGUCUGACCCCUUCCGUGCCGGAGUUAAACACAAUAAGCAAUCCACCUGGGGAGUACGGCCGCAAGGUUGAAACUCAAAGGAAUUGACGGGGGCCCGCACAAGCAGUGGAGUAUGUGGUUUAAAUUCGAAGCAACGCGAAGAACCUUACCAGGUCUUGACAUCCACCGAAUCCUGUAGAGAUACGGGAGUGCCCUUCGGGGAACGGUGAGACAGGUGGUGCAUGGUUGUCGUCAGCUUGUGUCGUGAGAUGUUGGGUUAAGUCCCGCAACGAGCGCAACCCUUGUGAAUAGUUGCUACGAAAGAGCACUCUAUUCAGACCGCCGUUGACAAAACGGAGGAAGGUGGGGAUGACGUCAAAUCAUCAUGCCCCUUAUGACCUGGGCUACACACGUACUACAAUGGCCGUUAACAGAGGGAUGCAAUGCCGCGAGGUGGAGCGAACCCCUAAAAACGGUCUCAGUUCAGAUUGCAGGCUG